CCUACGGGGGGCAGCAGUGAGGAAUAUUGGUCAAUGGACGAGAGUCUGAACCAGCCAAGUAGCGUGAAGGAUGACUGUCCUAUGGGUUGUAAACUUCUUUUAUAUGGGAAUAAAAUGUUCCACGUGUGGGAUUUUGUAUGUACCAUAUGAAUAAGGAUCGGCUAACUCCGUGCCAGCAGCCGCGGUAAUACGGAGGAUCCGAGCGUUAUCCGGAUUUAUUGGGUGUAAAGGGAGCGUAGGUGGAUUGUUAAGUCAGUUGUGAAAGUUUGCGGCUCAACCGUAAAAUUGCAGUUGAAACUGGCAGUCUGGAGUACAGUAGAGGUGGGCGGAAUUCGUGGUGUAGCGGUGAAAUGCUUAGAUAUCACGAAGAACUCCGAUUGCGAAGGCAGCUCACUGGACUGCAACUGACACUGAGGCUCGAAAGUGUGGGUAUCAAACAGGAUUAGAUACCCCGGUAGUC
rnacentral:rRNA from 1 species